UACCAGCACCCCGAGUGGUCGGGACGAUUAUUGGGCCUAAAGCAUCCGUAGCCGGUUCUACAAGUCUUCUGUUAAAUCCACCUGCUCAACAGAUGGGCUGCGGAGGAUACUAUAGAGCUAGGAGGCGGGAGAGGCAAGCGGUACUUAGUGGGUAGGGGUAAAAUCCGUUGAUCCAUUGAAGACCACCAGUGGCGAAGGCGGCUUGCCAGAACGCACUCGACGGUGAGGGAUGAAAGCUGGGGGAGCAAACCGG
rnacentral:rRNA from 1 species